rnacentral:rRNA from 1 species
GAGAAAAGAAACUAACUAGGAUUCCCUUAGUAACGGCGAGUGAACCGGGAUGAGCUCAAAUUUAAAAUCUGGCGUCUUUCAGGCGUCCGAGUUGUAAUCUAUAGAGGCGUUUUCCGCGCCGGACCGCGUCCAAGUCUCUUGGAAUAGAGUAUCAAAGAGGGUGACAAUCCCGUACUUGACGCGACAACCGGUGCUCUGUGAUACGUUCUCAAUGAGUCGAGUUGUUUGGGAAUGCAGCUCUAAAUGGGUGGUAAAUUCCAUCUAAGGCUAAAUAUUGGCGAGAGACCGAUAGCGAACAAGUACCGUGAGGGAAAGAUGAAAAGCACUUUGGAAAGAGAGUUAAACAGCACGUGAAAUUGUUAAAAGGGAAACGAUUGAAGUCAGUCGUGUGAAAGGUAUUCAGCCGUCUCUGGCGGUGUAUUUGCCUUUCACGGGUCAACAUCAGUUUGAUCCGGUAGAAAAAGGCGGGAGGAAGGUGGCACCCUCGGGUGUGUUAUAGCCUCCUGUCAUAUGUGCCGGACCAGACUGAGGAACGCAGCUUGCCGCAAGGCCAGGGGUCGCCCACGUACAAGCUUAGGAUGUUGACAUAAUGGCUUUAAACGACCCGUC